UACAGAGGUGGCAAGCGUUGUUCGGAAUUACUGGGCGUAAAGGGCGCGUAGGCGGCCUUGUAAGUCCUGUGUGAAAUCCCCCAGCUCAACUGGGGAACUGCACAGGAGACUGCUUGGCUUGAGUUCGGGAGAGGGAAGCGGAAUUCCGGGUGUAGCGGUGAAAUGCGUAGAUAUCUGGAGGAACACCGGUGGCGAAGGCGGCAUUCUGGACCAAUACUGACGCUGAGGAGCGAAAGCCAGGGGAGCAAACGGG
rnacentral:rRNA from 1 species